CAGGUGAUCAGAAAGGAAGUGACAGAGGCAACCACUUUUAGUGAAGAUACAUGUAGAAUCUUCAGCAAGUGAUAUUGCUACAAAUCAGAUGGCACCACCCAGAUGUUUCCUCACUUGUAAAUAUUAGGGAAUAUCUGGGAAUAAUAACUGGAUUUUAUCAAAACCAAGACCAUUGAUUGUAAAAUGUGUCAUUGCUUUCUGUACCCCUAAGGAAGAAAAAAUAUUGUCCAUGGAACUAUGAUAGACCACUGAAUAUUAGUUACAUCCCAAUUUCAGAGAGGUUAAAAUGGAGAAAAAGAGUCCAUAAAAAUGGGAUUUUAUUGUAGGUACCACCUCUUCCAUAUUGAGAAUCCGUUUUCCAGCUACUGGAGAUGGCUUUCUUAAUUUCUGCUUACUUUGAAAAUGGCUCUUGGACAGGUUAGGUAUAUGCCCAUUAGAUCUCAACAUUAUCUAUGGAGGGGACCACAGAGAAUUUUAUGUCUACAGUGGACAGUACACAAGGGAGCUCUAAUUUAUACAGAACUUCCUUAAUCUUUUAGUUUCUGGCAAGAAAGACAUUUGUUUUGACUUAAAGUUAAGGACUGUCAUAUGUUUUUUUGCAAAAAGAAAACACAGUCAUGAAUACUAUGGUGAACUAACUCACUUGGCCUGCUUUGGUUCUCUUAACUGAAGUCCGUGCUCUAGUAAUUUUCCUGAGUUUUAAGAGCCAUUUUGGUGAUUCUCUUAGGCUGUUUUAUUUUAGAGAUGGGGUCCCACUCUGUCACCCACGCUGGAGCACAGUGAUGCAGUCUUAGCUCAUUGCAACCUCAAACUUUCAGGCUCAGGUGAUUCUCCUGCAUCAGUCUCCCAAGUAGCUGGGAGUACAGGUGCACACCGCUACACGCAGCUAACUUAAAACAAUUUUUUUUUUUUUUAUAGACAGGGUCUGGCUAUGUUGAUAAGGGGGUAGGGUUUGUUACAGAGAGAAUGAUGGUGUGCUUCUUGCCUUAAUCAAGUGGAACGUUUAUCUUGCUUUUGUAUUAAAAUUUACCUGUAUUGUAGUGGCGAUGCUUAAUUCAAGCCACAAGAUGGUAGGGGCAGAGAGCCUAUCUGUUUAAGGUAAGAGGUGAGGCCUAAUUUAGAGAAGGGCGUUGGGAAUGAAGAAGAGGCAGUAGAUAAAGAGAAAAUUUAGGGGAAGGCCUUGGCAAAAUCUGCUUUGGCCGAGAUGAAGGAAAUGAAGGAAUCUGGCAUGGCCUGGAAGUGGUGCAGGUUUUGGCGGAAGAUAAAUUCAGCUAUGUACAUAUCAAGUGUGAGGCGUUAGAGUGCAAUAUGAGUGGAUGUAAAUAUCUAUUUUCCCUGUGGAGCUAGCCAGCAAACAUUUGGUCAGGAAGGAUGGUGAUAAGAAGAAAAUAGGGAUGAAGAUGUAGACUUGAGAGCCGUCCUGUGUGUGUAUGUGUCUAUGUGUGUGUGUAUUGUAGUGCAAGGUGUGGGAAUGAAGGCUACUGUCUAGGAGGAAGAAGCAUGUGGUAAGGCCUGAGGACAGGGACAUCCAAGGACAGGGACACUCCAUUGCUCAGCUCCAGUGGGUACUGAUCACAUUGUCUUUUGUGUGAACGGUAUCCCCAGGAUUUGUACAGAGGGGCAGAUCUGCAUGAAGUGAAUGCAAACUUGAGAAUCAUUUAGAUACAUGAAUGGCUGUUUUUCAUAGAGAAUUUCAAAACAAUUUUGCUUCCCUCUUCUCUAAAACAUUAAAUUAAACUUCGGCUUGUGCUAGGUUUGAAUUUAGAAACAAUUGUGUAUACACAACCGUUAAAUGGAAUCCUGACCACCUGUGCAAAACGAACUGCAGGAUUCAGCUUGUAAGCCAAGCCACAGAGAUGCUUUAAAUUCUUUAUCACAGUUACGAAACAAAUACAGAUCAUUUUAUAAUUUAUGAUGAGCUGAUAAGGUUUAUGAAAAUACAAUAUGCCCUUAAAAUACAUUUAACCUGUCUUUAAAUGCUGUAUUCCCUUGACACAAUUUAACUCCUUGUGAAAAGACCCUUGUACUGGAAACCGAGAGAUAUAGUACCUGUGUUCUGGACAGAGUCUAACUACUGGCGAGUUGUAUGACCUUGGGCAAUUCACUUGACUUCUAUGGACCUUCUGUCAUUUGAUAAAUGAUUGAAAAUAUGAAGAUGUCUUAAAUACUACUUAAAAUCUUACUGUUUUUGUCUUUGGGGAGUACUAAAGGCAGUAAUGGAAUUUAUUUUAAGUAUAUAUUUAAAAUAUGAUAUUUGUUUUUCCCUUGAAGAGUUUUCAUUUAGCCAAAUGGAUUGAUUUAAAGUUUUUGACCACAGCUGCUAAAGAAAUGUGUGCACAGCUACUGUUUUGGUAAACACAGACAAGUAACCAGAUGGUAGUAAUACUUUAAAAAGUUGGUCUAUAUGGGCUGGGAACCAUCCAAAUGGAAUUUUUAGUGUUUCGCCUAGGUACUUUAGAUUUAGUACACACUAAAUGAGUUUGAGUGUGUUUUACUACUGCAGUGGCUAGAAAGAACAAAUAGAGUAUUAUGUGGAAUACAAAUAAUGCUUAUUAAGCUUGCAGUUGAUUCCUUCUGAUAGAUGUUCCAAAUUGCUGUCAGACUAUAUUUACUUACUCAUAAACAGAUGUGGUUUUGCUUUAAAUCAGGAUAACUAUUCCAAACUGAGUUAUGCAUAUUUUAAACAACUGUUACGGAUUACAUUUUAAAAUUAUUGUUGAUUAAGAAGCUGAUUUAUUAUAUUUUAUAAGGUUCAUUUUUGGUGGUAGUUUUAGAUGACAGAGAGCUUAGAUUUUUUUUUAAUUUUUUGAAAUCUGAUUUAAGGUGGGAUAUCACCAGUUAAAAAUUAUUUUCUGG
rnacentral:lncRNA from 1 species